UACUCCCAGGCCCAGACAGUUAAACCUCCUACCCCAUCCUCUGUUCUUUCCUCAUCUGCUGGGUAGCAUCUAGCUGAGGACCCUGAAGCCCGAGAUGAUAGCAGAGACAUGUGGGCCCCUCAGUCACCGCUUGGAGGACAGUCACCAGGAGACACCCAGGUGAGGUGUCUUACCGAGUCCCAGCAGGUGGCCCCGUUGGCCCAGAAGUUUACAAGAGGCUUUCAGGACGUGGGAAGUCACCACGUGGCAUGUUGAGGGUUCCCCAGGGCUUGUGGCUGUUGUCCAAGCCCAUUGGAAAGGAGUGCAAAGGCCAGGGUGUAUGUUCCAUAGAAGGGCUCUGGCUGGAACAUACCGGGACAUACACCGCCUGUCUCCAUAGGCAGAGGCCUGAGGUGCUGCUGCUGUAACUGCAUCAAAACCCAUCGGUUCAAGAACGAAAUGCCUGGCGUGUUGUCUGCCGAGAGUGCAGUGAUUUACCCCCUGGAAUUUUCUCUGGUCCGGGAAGUACAAGCCCUGCUAUUCCUUAGAGAGGAUGGUUUUUAGAAACAAGGUGCUCCCAUUUCUAGACCCUUGAAAACUAGGGAUAGAACAGAGGCUGGUUGAAACCAAAUGCCGCGGUUGCCAGGAAUGGCCGAGGAGACCCCUGCGGUUUGUGCUGGCCCCUCAGCGAGUGUCCAACAAAGGGAGGCCUCCCAGGGCCCAAGGUGCCACGCUGCUGGGAGCAGGUGCUCAUUGCUGCCCUGGAGAGCAGGGGCGACUUGGUGAUGCCCACGCACUGAGCUGUGCCUGCGUCCCCAGCUCUCAGCGAGUGUCCCCAGGUCCCGAGAUUAAGGACUGGGCCACAAGCAGCUUACGGAGACGGCGAUCCUGGACGCACUCACCCAGGGGUGGGGGCAGACAGGCGGGAGCUGGCAGCUGUCACAAGGCGCGACCACGAACGAGCCGCGGCCACUGAGGAUGUUGGACACGGUCGGAACAGGCCCGGGGGGAGGGUGAGAGCCCCAUGGCCUCACCGCAGCGGCAGCACUACCUGCACAAGCCGCCCUCGGGGGUCCAGGCCCGGGACGCAGGGGCAGCGAGCUCUCCCAUCACCAGCAAAACCACAGCGCAGUCUGAGCCCCGUGCGGGCCCCUCCCACACAGCGCUCUCUGUCUCUGGAGACAGCGGAGAUGGGAGGACAAGCAGGAGGCAGGGUGCUGCUCUUCCGAGUCUCACGGUGACUCACAGUCCUCGCACGCAUGGAGCUCGCGGGGAGGAAGGCGCAGCUUCACAUCCCUUAGAGCUGGAAUCUCUCUUGGCCUGGCCCAGGCCUGGCCUCUCUGGGUUCCAGACUCCCCACG